AGAUGCCAAACGAACUGAACGCGUCUCGAAGAAGUUGUGGCGAUAUUUAAACAAAACUUCAGUACUUCAAACGUCGAUGUUUACGCCCAUGUAAGAUGGAUCCCAUGCAGGUGGUAAGUAAAAUUUAAUGUUGUUAGAAAUUUGAAUGUUGUUUUGACAAGACACUUAUGUAUACUCAAUAACCAAAUUCGACAAUUCCACGCGUAUUUGCAUUGCGCGUAUUGCUGUAUUUUUAGGUCUAAAGGCCCACACAGACCGGACGCGAUUUGGAAACGCGACGCGAAUUUUCAAUGACAUUUAACUUCACUAUUUUUCUAUGUUUUUCAAACAUUCGGAACCACUUAAUUAAGCAAUUUUAGCUAUUUGGUCUGCAUAUCUUGUAAAUUUUUUAUCCGUUGACGGUUUUUUUUUUAAAAACUAAGAAUCCGCGUCACGUUGUCGAAUCGCGUUCGGUCUGUGUGGGCCUUUAUAAAUGUAUAUAAAAUGUACACUUGAUAAUGUCCAUCUACAAUUGAACUUUCAUGCAACUAAUAAGCGAUAACUGGUUAAAAUUUUGAUUUUUAAAAUUUUCCUAUAUUGUUAUAGUUGCUAUUAUGAGUUAUUAUGCGCCCGCCAGCUUGUCCCAGAUUUCUGGUAGAAUGAGAUUCAUAAUCGAAAUUCCAUCUAUAAAACCAAAAGAAUCCGGAUAAUUUUGGAAGAUUUUAAAACUUUCUCUAUAUAUUUAUCUUAUUAUAACAAAUGUUUAUUUUUGUGCAAUAUUUUUUAGGACCAACAGUUACAACCCAGCUACCAAAAUCUUGGCAGAAACUUGUGAAAUAGAUAUCUAUAAUAUUUACAGGUAUGUGUCAAGUGCAUUAUUUAUAGUUAACCGUAUAAUGUUAAUAUAUUUUGCGUUCACUCGGGACGCACGGACGAAUUCUAGCACAGCUAAGAGAACGGUCAAUAUUUAUGACGGGGGGGGGGGGGGGGGGGGGNNNNNNNNNNNNNNNNNNNNGUUA
rnacentral:lncRNA from 1 species